UGUCUACAGAGCCAGUUCCCCAAACACCUGGGUGAUUUCGCCAAGGCUGGCAGAAGUGAGCUCACAGCAGGCUAGAAGUCUCUCUACCCUCAGUUUCCCCAUCCACAGACAUGAAAGUUGCAUUCAUGUCGUGUGCAAACACACAGAUGUGUUCCUGGCAUGAGAGAACCGUCCUCCCUGUUCUGUUUCUUGAAGGCGACUUGGUCCCUUCCCAAGGGUUUCACACCCUCAGUGCCCACGAAGACCUGUCUCCAAUCUUGUUGACACUGGUUGUGUUGACAUCAAGUCCCUGUUCUGGUCACUGUGUCCCUCUGACUGGCCCAGCAUGGGGCUUACCGUGCUCUUGGCUGGGCAGAGACUCAGAGCUAAGGCUUGGGAGGCUGGGACUUGAGCCAAGGCCAGAGGGAGCCAAGCCCUGACUGUCCUCGCCAGAAUCCACAGUAUCCAACUACCAGGCGCCCAGCCAAGAGAGGGGUUAUAUCUGACACCGACUUGAGGAAAAGCUCCUGUCCUGUACAUGGAGCCCCCAAAGCCACCCUUUGUCCUGCCCUCCAUUACCUCCCGAUACUGAGGGUAAUGAGAAGUGAGGACCACGAGGUCCUGAGUGUUGGUAAGAGGCUUGGGGGUAUGCUAUUUCUGUCUGUGCACCAGACCCCAGGGAUGCCUAACUCCCACAGAUGACUAGGGAUCUUCAUGCACAACGACUCAACUCCCACUCUCCCAGGAUGGUGCCUGGCCGUGGCCAGCCCAGAGCUGCUAUCCAGACACACCCACCAAAGAUGGACAGGCAGACAGGCUCAUGCUGAUGACAAGAGUCUAAAAGCAAUGGCCGAGGCCCCCCACGUGCAUCCUGACAGAGGGACCAACCAGCUGUUCGUCCUCAAGUGUCCCUGAGUACCUGUCUCAUUGGUGGCAGCUGGAGAAUGGACUGGAUUUGAAAAACCACAUGGUGGGCCCAAAGCGUUGCCUCAGUUUACCAUAUAGAUCCAUUCAGAGGACCAUCUGGGCCCAUUUACUGCCAGUGAAUGAUAUGGGGAAAGAACUGCCCUUUCAACUAGGGGUUUAGGUGGAAAUUGAUGUAUGGGCCUCCCUCCCCUCUCUACCCAGGGUGUGGCCUCCCUGUAAAGUAAGUCCUCCAAGACCCCUCUCUCAGAGAGGCCACAGCUCCUGAACGUGCCUUUCUAUGGCUAAAUGACCUCAAUUCCCACCCUGUACUCCACGUGCCCUGAAGGAAACAGAAGAGACACAUACAAAUUACUCAUCUGUGGCCUGUGACCUCUGACCUUUGACUUCCAGGCGUCUCAUCACCUGCUCUGUGUGCCUGUGUGCAUAUAAACACAGACCUGGAGCAUGCCUAUAUGUGACCCCUUAUGUUUGUACCAUGUAAGGGGUGUGUGCACUAGGAAUGUACACACAAGUGUGAAUACAUGUGCUCUGUGUUUUAUACAUA